AUACACUUAACAAAGCGUAAACGGGAUUUACGCACUGUUGAUUGCACUCGUCCAUUCCACAUCAGCUCCAUUUUAUUUCUAAUUUUUUCUAAUUUGCAUCUUAAUUUUAUUUUGUCUUAUCUGUUUUUGUCUUUUCCUGGGAAUGCAUAGAACAGGUAGCCUACGCGAUCUAUGAAGGGUUUUGCUAGAUAGGGGUGUGCUGUCUCGUGUAGGUGUUAACCGGUGAAUCAAUUACCUUUUCGUAUGGGUUUCUUCUCGUGUAGGUGUUAUCUGAUGGAUGAAUUUUCCCUCCCAAAUGCAAUUGCCCUGAUUUGAAAUUUUUGAGUAUCUAUAAAUUGGGUAUAAUUGUUGAUAUUUGUUCAGUCACAAAUUGUUUGUCUCGUCUUCCUAACAAUGGUGUACAUGGAGAAACGUUUGGUUGAUUCUGCUUUUGAUGAAAUUGCUGAUGUUGUUCCUGGCAAAGAAAGGGUUUGUAUCAAGGCUAGGGUUAUUCGGUUGUGGAAAGUUCCUGCUUUUCUCAAUCCAAAUGAAUCUGGCUCUAUUGAGUUGAGAUGGUUCUUGUCCAAGGUUUGAACUAAAAGGCAGCAAGAAUGUAUUGGGGGAGUUUCACAGUGGCUUUGUGAACAAUAGAGAAAGAACUGGUGAGGGAUGAUUAAUUUGUUUUCUAUUUCAUUCUGUUUUUCAUUUAUGUAGUUUUUCUUUCUUAUUCAUAGUAGCUUCAUCUUGAUUUAUGUCUCUUUUUCCACAAAAUUGGGAAUGAUGUAUCAGGAUUUAUGGGUGAUAUCUAUACACUUGACACAUAGAUAACGGGAUUUGGGCACUGUAGGUUGUAAUCAUUCGUGUCACGUCGAUCCGUUUUGAUUUUUUUUUUCGUUCCUUGGUUUUACAAGACCCACAGAACUUGGAUGCCUUUGUGUUUCUAUAAUACACCUUCCUCAGAUAUGCUCUUGUCAUCGUGUAGGCUUUAUCUGGUGCUCCAAUUUUCCCUUCAUAAACAGUUUCAUCAUCUAUAAAUUUGGGUUGAGAUGGAAGGUAAGAGGACCAUAAAUUUGUCAUCGCUUCCAAUUUCUUCUCGUGUAUGCUAUUUCUUGCAUUGUUGUUGUUGUUCUUCUUCUUAGUUUCUUUGUUGUCUUAUAAUUUAAUUACUCAUCUAUUUCAAUUUUAUACAUGCCCACCAUGUGUUUGAUAAUUUUUUUUUGUGGAUUCUCAUCAAUAUGUUUGAAUUAGAACUUUUUUAACAUGUUUGAAUUAGAAUUUGAUCUACUGAAUCUUCAAUUUUCAUGUGUACAUGUUAUGUUGCAGAAAGCGACUGGUUGUUUUAUCUUAUAAUCCAACUCUAUUUCUAGACUUCAGCUAACAGAUUGGUAUUGAAGGUUUGUGUUUGAAGAAGAUUGAGAAAGUUUGCAAAAAAUAUAGGCUCAUGGUGCAUUGAUGAUAGUGUAUAUAAGAGGAGCAUGGUGGCAGUCUUAACGAAGCUGUAAAUGCAUAUUUUAGCGAAGGAGACAGAAAUUUGAUGACCAGGUACACCCUUUUUAAUAAUCAAGAGAUCAUUUAGAAUACAUAUUCCAAGAAGCAAUUUUGUUAUGAGAAUGCAAACUUUUAAUAAACAGCUACACUGUUGUCUUUUCUUAUGUGUACAUGUUUGGGUUAUAGCAUACUUUAAUACUAUUAUUUUUCUACUCAAAAGAGCUUCGAAUAUAAUAUUGUGGUUUUAAGUUGGUCUGAGACAUAAUUUUUUUCCCUUUCUAUUCAAAUAUAUGUACAAUGUUGUGGUUAUCUUGUGGUUAUGAAUGUGACUUUUCGUUAAAACAAUGGUUGGCGGAUCGGAGGUCCUGUCUAGGUUGUAUUUAAAACCUUAUAAGUUUGUUUCCCUUGGUUUUUCAUUCUGGUCAUGCAUCAGAGUGUUUGGUGCUAUUCCUCAUUAUUCUCAGAUUCAUCUUUUCGGGGACUGGUUUAUGUGUUUGUUAUGCAGGUGGCACUUAUUUUCUACGUAUCAGAUCUUGUGAUCACAUACUAUAGCAUGGUUGUUUUCUGUUUUUAUUAACAGGUUUCAUCUCUCUAGCUUUGGUUGUCACUGAUGUAGGUCUGGACUAUUUAGUAGUGUUGGUUGUAUCUCAUAAGGCCUUAUCCAUUUUCUCGGGCCAGAACUUGAGAAAGUUCGAUGUGCCUUGAGUCGAGAGUGAUAAGGCGAGAGAUCCCAUCUUGGUACCAAAUAAUUAUGUUACAUUGGUAGUUAAAUUUUGAAAAUGAAAAUAGAAUAGAUGAAUUUAUCUUAUUUAUUGAUAGCAAAAAUACUUGAAGCAACUAUAUUUUCUUUGUAAUGUUCCCCAAUCAUUUCAUUGUAAACAUUGACGCUGAUGUUACUGAUGCAGUUUCUAUAUUAGGAGAGUGUUUAAAUGAAGAGCACCGGUUGCAGCCUUUGUGUAACCAUGUUAAGUAUGACCUUUGAGAAUAAUGUCUUUUAUGAUCAUUUAACUUAUGCAUUCAUCAUAUUUAUAAGAAAAACCAUGGUUGAGUUGGAAUUAAGUAGAUUUUGCAGAUUAAAUAUACUUGAGGUUACAGGAAAAGCACAAGCAAAUGCAAGAAAGUAAUCCGAGUAUGUAUAAUGUACCACAGGAACAAAGUGAUGAUAAGAAUGGUACAAUUGUGAAGAAGGGCAGACAAGAAAAGAAGAUAAAACUGGAGACAGAGUCACAUAACAUUAAAUCCAGAUUUUAUCACCAAUUCCUAUUUCAUCUGCAUUAAGUUUUUAAUCCCUCAACUUAUCUCAUGCCAUCAAGAGUCAAAGAUUGCUACUCCUUCCAAGAUUCAUUUAGUUUUUAUUUCUUUUAUAUUCUCAAACUUUACACCCAAGUCUCACACAAAUAAUGAGUUAAUUUUAUAUUUAUAUAAUGAGUUAAUUUUGUAAUUAUUAUU